UUGAUCCUGGCUCAGGACGAACGCUGGCGGCGUGCUUAACACAUGCAAGUCGAGCGGUAAGGCCUUUCGGGGUACACGAGCGGCGAACGGGUGAGUAACACGUGGGUGACCUGCCCCCUACUCUGGGAUAAGCCUGGGAAACUGGGUCUAAUACCGGAUAUGACCUGCGAUUGCAUGAUUGUGGGUGGAAAGUUUUUUCGGUGGGGGAUGGGCCCGCGGCCUAUCAGCUUGUUGGUGGGGUGAUGGCCUACCAAGGCGACGACGGGUAGCCGGCCUGAGAGGGCGACCGGCCACACUGGGACUGAGACACGGCCCAGACUCCUACGGGAGGCAGCAGUGGGGAAUAUUGCGCAAUGGGCGGAAGCCUGACGCAGCGACGCCGCGUGGGGGAUGACGGCCUUCGGGUUGUAAACCUCUUUCGCCAGGGACGAAGCGUUUGUGACGGUACCUGGAGAAGAAGCACCGGCCAACUACGUGCCAGCAGCCGCGGUAACACGUAGGGUGCGAGCGUUGUCCGGAAUUAUUGGGCGUAAAGAGCUCGUAGGCGGUGUGUCGCGUCGGCCGUGAAAACCUGCAGCUUAACUGUGGGCGUGCGGUCGAUACGGGCAUCACUGGAGUUCGGCAGGGGAGACUGGAAUUCCUGGUGUAGCGGUGGAAUGCGCAGAUAUCAGGAGGAACACCGGUGGCGAAGGCGGGUCUCUGGGCCGAUACUGACGCUGAGGAGCGAAAGCGUGGGGAGCGAACAGGAUUAGAUACCCUGGUAGUCCACGCCGUAAACGUUGGGCGCUAGGUGUGGGGGCCAUUCCACGGUCUCUGUGCCGUAGCUAACGCAUUAAGCGCCCCGCCUGGGGAGUACGGCCGCAAGGCUAAAACUCAAAGGAAUUGACGAA
rnacentral:rRNA from 1 species